UACGGAGGAUGCGAGCGUUAUCCGGAUUUAUUGGGUUUAAAGGGUGCGUAGGCGGAUAGAUAAGUCAGUGGUGAAAACCUGCAGCUUAACUGUAGACUUGCCGUUGAUACUGUCAGUCUUGAGUAUGGUCAAGGUAGGCGGAAUGUGUAAUGUAGCGGUGAAAUGCUUAGAUAUUACACAGAACACCGAUUGCGAAGGCAGCUUGCUGGGCCAUUACUGACGCUGAUGCACGAAAGCGUGGGGAUCGAACAGG
rnacentral:rRNA from 1 species